CAGCAGCCGCGGGAAUACGUAGGGUGCAAGCGUUAAUCGGAAUUACUGGGCGUAAAGCGUGCGCAGGCAGUCCGCUAAGACAGAUGUGAAAUCCCCGGGCUUAACCUGGGAACUGCAUUUGUGACUGUAUGGCUAGAGUGUGUCAGAGGGGGGUAGAAUUCCACGUGUAGCAGUGAAAUGCGUAGAUAUGUGGAGGAAUACCGAUGGCGGAGGCAGCCCCCUGGGAUAACACUGACGCUCAUGCACGAAAGCGUGGGGAGCAAACAGGAUUAGAGACCCCCGUAGUCCCUGUCUCUUAUAC
rnacentral:rRNA from 1 species